rnacentral:rRNA from 1 species
AUUGAACGCUGGCGGCAGGCCUAACACAUGCAAGUCGAGCGAGUGGCGGACGGGUGAGUAAUGUAUGGGAAACUGCCCGAUAGAGGGGGAUAACUACUGGAAACGGUGGCUAAUACCGCAUACUAUCGGAUGUGCCCAUAUGGGAUUAGCUAGUAGGUGGGGUAAAGGCUCACCUAGGCGACGAUCCCUAGCUGGUCUGAGAGGAUGACCAGCCACACUGGAACUGAGACACGGCCCAGACGCCUACGGGAGGCAGCAGUGGGGAAUAUUGCACAAUGGGCGCAAGCCUGAUGCAGCCAUGCCGCGUGUAUGAAGAAGGCCUUAGGGUUGUAAAGUACUUUCAGCGGGGAGGCGUUACCCGCAGAAGAAGCACCGGCUAACUACGUGCCAGCCGCCGCGGUAAUAC